rnacentral:rRNA from 1 species
GCCCGUUUAUCAAAAACAUGGCUCUUUGCUAUAUGAAUAUAAAGAGUCGAGCCUGCCCAGUGAAUUUUUAACGGCCGCGGUACUCUGACCGUGCAAAGGUAGCAUAAUCAUUUGCCUUAUAAUUGAAGGCUAGUAUGAAUGGUUUGACGAGAGCAACACUGUCUCCUUUUUAUUUUCAAGAACUUAACUUUUAGGUGAAGAGGCCUAAAUUUUAUUGAAGGACAAGAAGACCCUGUCGAGCUUAAAAGACAUCAUAGGGCUUAAUAUAUUUUUAAAUAAAUUUUCUAUUAGGCUUUUUAGUUGGGGCGACUAAGGAACAAAAAAAGCUUCUUUUUGAUAAUAAACAAUCAUGUUUGGAUCCGGUAGUAAGCGAUUAAAGAAAUUAGUUACCGCAGGGAUAACAGCAUAAUCUCUCUUAAGAGACCUAAUCGAAAGAGGGGGUUGUGACCUCGAUGUUGGACUAGAAUAUCCUGAAGAUGCAGA